UACGUAGGGGGCAAGCGUUGUCCGGAUUUAUUGGGCGUAAAGAGCGUGUAGGCGGCCAGGUAGGUCUGCUGUGAAAACUCGAGGCUCAACCUCGAGAGGUCGGUGGAAACCGUGUGGCUAGAGUCCGGAAGAGGAGAGUGGAAUUCCCGGUGUAGUGGUGGAAUGCGUAGAUAUCGGGAGGAACACCAGUGGCGAAGGCGGUUGCCUGGGCUUUGGCUGACGCUGAUGCGCGAAAGCGUGGGGAGCGAUCCGGAU
rnacentral:rRNA from 1 species